GACGAACGCUGGCGGCGUGCCUAAUACAUGCAAGUUGAGCGAUGAAGAUUGGUGCUUGCACCAAUUUGAAGAGCAGCGAACGGGUGAGUAACGCGUGGGGAAUCUGCCUUUGAGCGGGGGACAACAUUUGGAAACGAAUGCUGAUACCGCAUAACAACUUUAAACAUAAGUUUUAAGUUUGAAAGAUGCAAUUGCAUCACUCAAAGAUGAUCCCGCGUUGUAUUAGCUAGUUGGUGAGGUAAAGGCUCACCAAGGCGAUGAUACAUAGCCGACCUGAGAGGGUGAUCGGCCACAUUGGGACUGAGACACGGCCCAAACUCCUACGGGAGGCAGCAGUAGGGAAUCUUCGGCAAUGGACGAAAGUCUGACCGAGCAACGCCGCGUGAGUGAAGAAGGGUUUCGGAUCGUAAAACUCUGUUGGUAGAGAAGAACGUUGGUGAGAGUGGAAAGCUCAUCAAGUGACGGUAACUACCCAGAAAGGGACGGCUAACUACGUG
rnacentral:rRNA from 1 species